GGCCUCGUAGCUCAACUGGAUAGAGCGCCAAGCUUCUACCUUGGAUGUUGGGGGUUCAAGUCCCUCCGAGGUCACCA
rnacentral:tRNA from 1 species